rnacentral:misc_RNA from 1 species
UCCAAUAUGGCCGCUAAACCGUGGAAACGGAAUAUCUGGCACUCGCGGGCUAAAACAUAAGCCUGCUAUGAAGGUUAAACCUUAUUUUAUUUCUGUUAGGACAAGAAAAAAUGUGUAGCAACAUGCAAGAUGAAUUCAGUCUUUUUGGAUAUGGAUUUAUAGCAGUUCAUGUUGGUGCUGGGUACCAUUCACUCUUACAUGAAAAGGACUACAAACAGGCCUGCAGAGCUGCAUGUGCUGAGGCCAUGAAAGCUAUCAAGCAAGGAUUCUCAGCUAAGGAUGUUGUGACCAAUGCAAUAACAGCUUUAGAGGAUUUUCCUUGCACCAAUGCAGGAAUUGGUUCAAAUUUAACCAAAUUAGGAACAGUGGAGUGUGAUGCAAGUAUAAUGGAUGGAAAUUCCUCAGCAUUUGGAGCUGUUGGUGCUCUUAAGGGAAUAAGGAAUCCUAUCCGGGUGGCUAAUAAACUGUUGGAGGGAGACAUGACUGGAGCAUCGCCUCUAGGUCUUAUUUCUCCAAUCUUUCUUGCUGGAGAAGGAGCUUUUCUUUGGGCAGUGAAUCAUGGUUUCAUUGCAUGUUGUGAUGAAGAUAUGAUUACAGACAGAAGUGUCCAAACAUGGAAAAGAUGCAAGUCAAGAUUAGAGUUAACUGAUGUAGAUCAUAAACCCAAGACUUUUCCACUUGAAAACCUGUGUAAUGUAUCAAAUGAGGGUAACCACAUGGAUACUGUUGGUGCAGUUUGCAUGGACAGGCAUGGACAUCUCUGUGCUGGUGUUUCCAGUGGUGGUGUUAUUUAUAAAAUACCAGGUCGUAUUGGUCAGGCAAGUAUAUAUGGCAGUGGCUGCUGGGCAACAAGUCGUCAAGUGAACAAAGUUGGAGUGGCCUGUUGUACAUCAGGUUGUGGAGAACAUUUGGUGAAGACCAUGUUGGCCAGAGAGUGUGCCAAGUUGGCUUUAACUAGGGACGCAGUCAGUGCGGUUCAGGAAGGACUCGAGGACGUGUUUUUAGGUUCACCUUUUCUUUCAUCAGUGGAGCACAAGUUAGGAGGGGUGUUGCUUCUGCGAGUGGAGGAAGGGGAGACCGCCGAUGAUUGCACGGUUGAUCUUGUUUGGGGUCACACUACAGAGAGUAUGUGUGUUGGUUACAUGACAGAACAAGAUAAGAGACCAAAGGCUCGGCUCUCCCGCAUACAGAAAGGACAACAACAUCCCGUGUUACUUGAGGGCACAGUUUACAGACCACCCCAUAGAUAGUGUCUGUAUUUACAAAAAAAAAAUCCUCGUUCGAGUGGUUCCGUCGUUUCUCGAGAUGUCAAGCAACGCAUCCGUUACGUUACAUCCCAAAGAAUGACUGCGAAGAAGAUCAGUGGGUCCGUGCAUGUCUUACGAGCUCUCUUUAGCCGAAGCUCUGACAACUCGCCAGCUAAUUCAAGCUGGUGACAUCAAGGAGGAAAAAAAAGAAACAUCUUCCCUUAGGUACUGAGUUCAUCUUGGACAAAGAUGACUUGGCUGGAAACCAUUACUGCGUCGUAGAAAGGAACACCAUGCCAUCUUUAUGUAUAAAUUAAUUAACAACCAUUCAUGUAAUACUAUUCCUGUCACACUUAAUCGGGACUUUCAUGGUUACAACACAAGAUCGAGAAAUGACGUUCGAAAAUCUAGUGCCACAAGAAGAUGGGGUCAUUGGUCGUCAGUUAACUUUAGCGCAGAUAUAUGGAAUGGUUUAGACAUUUCACUAAGAAAUGCAAACUCACUGCCUGCCUUCAAACGUGGCCUGUCCAAAUUUAAUUUUGAAUUUUAAUUGACUUUUGCUAGUAUUACUUUUAGUUAAUACUUGGUGAUUAGUAUUUUUAAUUAGUUCUUAGAUUUAGCUUUAGUUAUUUGUUGCUAUUUGUAUUUUAUCUUUGUAUUAGUAUUUAACUUAAGAGGACCCUCCUGUAAACCACUUUUGUGACGUUGGCAUCCUCAUUUAAGAUUAUAGUAUA